GUCCACGCCGUAAACGAUGAGUGCUUGAUGUUGGGGGCCGUAGCCCUCCAGUGUCGUAGCUAACGUGAUAAGCACUCCGCCUGGGGAGUACGGCCGCAAUGUUAAAACUACAAAGGAAUUGACGGGGCCCGGCACAAGCGGUGGAGCAUGUGGUUCAAUUCGACGCAACGCGAAGAACCUUACCAGCUCUUGACAUUAGACGUAUGGGGCCGAGAGAUCGGCUCCUUCAGUUCGGCUGGCGUCCAAACAGGUGCUGCAUGGCUGUCGU
rnacentral:rRNA from 1 species